GAAAAAUAAAACCUCUAACACCCUAAUUCCUUUGGUCAUUACUCUCAGGAUAUUGUUUCCUCAAUGAGCUCUAAGCACAAGAGCUUAUCAAAGUAUGCUGCUCACAUUUAUGAGACUGCAAGCUUCUUUGCCCACCAAGAAUGCUGUUAUACACACAAUCAGGUUAUCAUGGUGCAAGCCUUGCAAGCAUCUGCUCAGCCAGUGCAAGCCAUCCAACUUGGCCUUCCGUGUGCGCGCUGGUCCCGCUCGGCCCGGCCUGUCGCCAUGGCUGCCGGCGCGUCCACGCUUGUCGCGCUGCCUGCCAGCUGGUCUGGCCGUGGCAGCAUGUGGCGCCUGGCGCUG
rnacentral:lncRNA from 1 species